GGGCCGUUAGCUCAGUUGGUAGAGCAUCUGACUUUUAAUCAGGUGGUCGCAGGUUCGAUCCCUGCACGGCCUACCA
rnacentral:tRNA from 2 species